rnacentral:misc_RNA from 1 species
AGCAGCCGCGGUAAUUCCAGCUCCAAUAGCGUAUAUUAAAGUUGUUGCAGUUAAAAGCUCGUAGUUGAAUUUCGGGAUUGACACAUCGGUCGUGCCUUAAGGGGUAUGAACUGGUGUAGUCAAUUUCUCACCUUCUGGAGAACCGCGAUGCCCUUAAUUGGGUGUCGCGGGGAACCAGGACCUUUACUUUGAAAAAUUAGAGUGUUUAAAGCAGGCAUUUUGCUUGAAUACAUUAGCAUGGAAUAAUAAAAUAGGACGGCAUGAUUCUAUUUUGUUGGUUUCUAGGAUCACCGUAAUGAUUAAUAGGGAUAAUUGGGGGCAUUAGUAUUCAAUUGUCAGAGGUGAAAUUCUUGGAUUUAUUGAAGACUAACUACUGCGAAAGCAUUUGCCAAGGAUGUUUUCAUUAAUCAAGAACGAAAGUUAGGGAUCGAAGACGAUCAGAUACCGUCGUAGUCUUAACCAUAAACUAUGCCGACUAGGAAUCAGACGAUGUUAAUUUUUAAUGUACUCGUUUUGGCUA